UUGCUUCCUUUGCAUCACAUAUGCUAAAAUUGGAAUGAUACAGAGAUUAGUAUGGCCCUUGUGCAAGAAUGAAGUGGAAAUUCAUAAAACAUUCCAUAUUUUU